UGGGGGCUCAUCCAACGUAAAGGACGUCUGCAGAGGCAGGCGAAUGUGGGUUCAAAUCCCACACCCCCAACCA
rnacentral:tRNA from 1 species